rnacentral:rRNA from 1 species
UACGAGUUGUGCAAACGUUAUUCGGAAUCACUGGGCUUAAAGGGUGCGUAGGCGGCUACGAUAGUCAGGUGUGAAAUCCCUCGGCUCAACCGAGGAACUGCAUUUGAAACUGCGUAGCUUGAGGAAGACAGAGGUGAGCGGAACUGAUGGUGGAGCGGUGAAAUGCGUUGAUAUCAUCAGGAACACCGGUGGCGAAGGCGGCUCACUGGGUCUUAUCUGACGCUGAGGCACGAAAGCCAGGGGAGCAAACGGG